UAGUGCUAACAGUACAAGUAGUAUUACUAGCAGUACUAGUGCUAGUAGUGAUAUUACUGUAGUACUAGCACUGAGGUGUUCCGGAAGAGGUACUAGUAAUAUUUGUACUUUGUGGUGGUUCCCUUGUAGGCGGGGCGGCGCCCACACCCUCAGCCAGCCACCCGCCGCCCGCCGCCCACGCCCAUCACGCCCCUCCUACACAGGCUGUCCACCCAUCUCAGGCGCACCCCCCUGCGGCGCACGCUCCGCCCCCCCUGCCGGAAUUGGGGCCUUCCGUAGGCCUCCCCCAACCAGAGACGGCCCUGCCCCCGCACGUGCUGCCGGGUUUGUCUCCGUCAGACGAUGGUGCGGGUACGUCCCACGCAGCCGACUAUAACACCGGCUACGGUCCCUACACUAAGAACGAAGGGGAUCCGCACCACCUCACCUCUGACGGCACGGAUUCUAGCGGGCAACGUAUGACCGUCACCCCGGAGCUCUUAGGACUUAUGCCUUCCAACGCCACCUCACAUUACUCCUCCGGAGGAUGCAGGUGAAAUCCCAGAAAUUGCUAUUUGUGGGGGCCUGAUGAGGGCAGGUUGUGCGGGAUCACAGUCGCUGAAGACAUGGUUCUCAAUCAAAUGGGUGGACCCUUUGAAGCAGGAUGAGUCAUCGGGAAGCGGUGAACUGUUUUCGGGGGUUCUUGAAGAGUACGAGGAGGAACUUUGCAAAUCAUUGUUAGCUGGUUUCUUCAAUGUGCUACACAAAUGGGUGUCAUAUUGGGGGGGAUAUAUUGGGUGGCCAGUAUGAUAUCUAUGUAAAGGAUGAGAGAUGGGCCCAACCUUCAAAUUAACACCCAAUCAGCCUGAUCUCAAUAGUGGAAAAAUUACUAGAAUCAAUAAUAAAAGUUACAAUUUGAAGUUACCUUAAUGAAAAUAAUAAUUUGAUAAAGAGUCUCAACACAGAUUCAUAAAGGGUCAUUCUUGCCUAACAAACUUUCUGAACACUUUUUCACUAAGGUAUUUGAGGCAGUGGAUCAGGAUAGAGUAUAAUGAUGUCUAUCUUAUUUACAAUAAGGUUUUUAAUAUAUUUUAACAUAGGAUACUGUUGAAGUAGCAGCACAUGAUACUGGAGAAAAAUUCUUUCAUGGAUCAAUGUCUGACUGAUGGCAGCAAAGAAUUUACAGUAUAAAAUGUAAAAUCAAAAUGAAGAUCUGUCACAAAUCACAUUCCAGAGUCUCCUUGGUUAUAAUCUUCAUUAACAACCUACACAGGAUAAUAUAUAACAACAUGAGUCAGUUUGCUGAUGACACAAAAAUAGGCUAAAAAAAUAAAGUGGACAAGUGGCAGAUUCAAAUCAUUGUUCAAAAUUUUUUCUCAUUCUUUAAAAGAAUUGUGCCGCAACUCAAACAAGGUCUUACCAGAAAUGUAUGAUUAGAUGUAGUAAUCUCAAAACACUUUUACCAGGGAAAACUUUUAUUUUACGUCUCUCCCACAGUUGCUGAAAUUUCGUACAAUAAAGGUUGUCCCUCGAAAUUACCACCUGUAGGUUUAUACUAUUGUUUACCGUACUGAGUAGUGUUGUAGUGGAUGGCAAAUUUAUUUUUUCCUCCAAGGUUUCUGUGCGAUAACCCUAAAAUGUCUCUUCUGAUCGGCUUCAAGCUUUCAAUGCUGAUGUAUUAUAGAGGAAGGUUUGAAAUGUUAAUGGGCUGCGUAGGUGCCAGUCUUCAAAGACAGAACACAAAGGCACAAUACUGUGACUGGAACAAUACACAAAUAACCUGCAUAUAGGAGAAAGAAGCUUCAUGAUAGUUUUGGUCUGACUUGGACCAUUAAUUAGUCACACUAGUUAAUGAUCCAAGUCGGACUGAAACAUUGUCAUUAAAUUUAUUUCUCUUAUGUGUGGUUUAUUUGUGUACAAUUUGCCAAAUUUAUGAAACAAAUUGAGAUAUUGGCUUCCAUGUUAUAACUUGAGAAUAAUUACUGAUUGGCUUCAAACUUUCAAUACUAUUGUAUCUUACAUGACAGAACAUUCACACUGUUAUUGGGCUGUAUUAAUUCCAAUUUGCCAUUUUUUUUUUAUUUUCUUUUUUUUUUUUUCAAAAAAUUAAGUGGCAUUUUUUUUUUCAUAACCAGAAUGCCUCUUCUGAAUGACUUCCAAUUAACAGUGCUGAUGUAUUUAACCCAAAAAUGAUUCAGGUUAGUUUUGGGUUCUGUUAGUGUCAGUUUGCCAGUUUUAUUGAACAGACUGGGAUAUUGAUUUGCCAGUUUUAUUGAACAGACUGGGAUAUUGAUUUGCCAGUUUUAUUGAACAGACUGGGAUAUUGAUUUGCCAGUUUUAUUGAACAGACUGGAAUAUUGAUUUGCCAGUUUUAUUGAACAGACUGGGAUAUUGAUUUGCCAGUUUCAUUGAACAGACUGGGAUAUUGAUUUGCCAGUUUCAUUGAACAGACUGGGAUAUUGAUUUGCCAGUUUCAUUGAACAGACUGGGAUAUUGAUUUGCCAGUUUUAUUGAACAGACUGGGAUAUUGAUUUGCCAGUUUCAUUGAACAGACUGGGAUAUUGAUUUGCCAGUUUUCAUUGAACAGACUGGGAUAUUGAUUUGCCAGUUUUAUUGAACAGACUGGGAUAUUGAUUUGCCAGUUUUAUUGAACAGACUGGGAUAUUGAUUUGCCAGUUUCAUUGAACAGACUGGGAUAUUGAUUUGCCAGUUUUAUUGAACAGACUGGGAUAUUGAUUUCACUUUCACAGUUAUUGAGAAUGCCUCUAUAUAUCAACUUUGAAUACUGUAUCCUACCUUAAGUCUUAAGAAAAUUUUAGGUUUUUAUUGGGUUAUGUGGAUGCCAAUUUCUUUGAAAAACUGGAUGAUAUCAUAUCCUUCUGGAGUACUAAAAAAAUUGGGGGAAUCAGAUUGCAAAUUUCAAUGGAAUAUCAUAUCGUCUUAAAUCUGCACCAUAUUAUUUACUAAAUUACCAUUAGCCUAGUUUAAGAGAUAUUAAGGAUCCUAGUAUGAGGACAGCUGAAUGCUUUUGAAAAAAAAAAAAAAGUUAAAAAAAAAAAAAAAUGUAAAAUAUUCGUAUCAGUGUGUAACUUGUCAGUGGUUACAUUUCUACACGAUAAUUAUUGUAGUUUUAUGCAGCUUUUAGUUUUGCAAUUAUAAUGUUAAUUAGCAUGAUGUCGGUAAAGUUUUGUGGGUAUUUAUGUUGAUUUUUUUUUUUUUAUUAAUAUUGUUUGUAAAAAUUAGAUGUUGGAAACCUCUCAAGGAGGUUAUUUGAUGCCAUCGACUGCUUUUGGUCCAAUGAAAUGGAUCUACCCAACCCUUCCUUGGACUGAACCUCGUUGCUUCCUAUUCCCCAAGGCACUGUAUGACCCGAUGGGUUUAGUGCAACCUCCCUCCCAUGAAUGUAAUUGACAUUAGCAAGACUGGUGUGUAGAGGAGUGGCCAGACUAUUAUUAUUACAAUCAAAAUUAAGCGCUAAACGUACAAGGGUCAUAGAGCACUGCAGGAGUGGUCAUGGAGCUCAGUGCUCCGUCACUCACCGAUGGAAUGUGGCGGUGGCUUACAAGUUUUAAUUUCACUCUUUGACUUCUAUUAUCCUUCAUAUUUAUUGAGGUAUUUGAUUUCUUUUUUUUUAUGUUGUAAAUAUUAGUUCUGUAAACCUAUAUUUAGCAGAAAUUAUAAAUGUAUUUAAGUUUUCUACUUUGAAUCUUUAUGUUUUUUUUAAUUAUUAUUUUUUUUUUUUCGAAAAACUAAGGAUAAUAUCUAUAUUGGAAGUAAGUUAGUGUGUCUUUUAACUAAAAUUAUUAACUAGAAUAUUUGGAAGUUAAUAACAAUUGCCCCAUUUUGAUGUAAAGUUCAUAGAUGUCUUUUUUUUUUUAUAACCAUUUAUCUUACACCAGAGUUUUUAAAACUUUUGAAAUUGUGGAACCUUUAAUUAAAAGAACAAAUUCCUGAAACCUCGAACAAAAGUUAAAAAGUUAUGCUACGUUACGUAAUAUGCAAAAUAUCAGCAUACGUGUACAUUUGUGUACAUUUCAUUGAUAGAUUAAAUAUCAGAUUGGAGGAAGUGGUUGUGUUCAGACAUUUGGGAGUAGCAUCAGCAGGUGGGUCUGUGAAACACAAGAUGUGUCGUGGGGGUUCAUCAUGAGAUAUUGAAGUAAGAAAUACACUAUGUUAGAUGUCUUGGAGGUGUAUAAUUAAGAGAGUCUUGAGGAUAGCCCAGGCCUGUCUGUCGAGUCUAAUCUGUGCCUAGCAUGGAACUCUGUGACUUAGGGCGGGACCUCUGGGCUACCACUCGUGUGAGGAUCUUAUGACGUCACAGCCAGCAAGGGAGCCUAUCUAUAAAGUAGCUGGGAUUAUCUAAGUAUACUACACAAGUAAACAGUAACACUAUUGACAGGUGAACCAUAGAAUAGAUGAAGGGAAAAGGGUGAGUGGUGUGGCGAGACAUCUGGGGUAAGACAUCCAUCUAUGGAGGCAAAAAUAGGGAAUGUACCAUAGUAUAAUGGUACCAGCACUUGUAUGGAUGUGAGGCAUGGGUUUUAAAUGGUGCAGUGAGAUCAGUGUAUGAUGUGAAUAUAAUGCAGAGGGGUCAGGGUGUAGAAGAUAAAAAAGAAACGAUGUGGGUUACCAAGGGUAUAAUUCAGAGGGCUGAGGUGGUUUGAGCAUUUAGAGGAUGGUGACAAGAGAAGUGACAUUUAGAGAGGAUGGUGACAAAGAGAGUGUACAAGUGGUGUGGAAGGUAAGGGUCAUCCCAUCAACAGGUAUGGGGAAUAAAGGAGCGAGUUUUAGAAGCUUCAGGAUUGUACUCGCCUAGUUGCGGUUACAGGGGUCAAGUCACAGCCCCUUGUGUGAGUCCAUUAGAUAAGAAUGAAUGGAGAAAAGUAGUUUUAAGAAACAUGCUGCUGGAAUGUGAGUAAGGUAACAUUUAUGAAGGGAUUCAGGGAAACCAGUUAGGUGAUGUGUGAAGGACAGUGCCUGCACUCUGAAGAAGGGAUGAGGUUGUUGUAUUUCAGUUGUAAUUUGAAUUGUGAUGUCAGCAAACUUCUUGCAGGAUGAUUGAGUGAAUGAUGGUGAGUGUGGUUCCUCUUUUUGGGUUUAAUUGCAUUACACUACAUUACCUGGAGUAUACCUGGAGAGGGUUUGGGGGGGGGCCAAUGUCCCCGUGGCCUGGUCUGAGACCAGGCCUCGUGGUGGAUCAGGGUCUAAUCACCCCAGGCUGUUACUGCUGGCCUUACGUAAUCUGACGUACAAGGAGGUAAAAAUAAAAAAGGCUUAGCCAUUUACCAGUGAAAGAAAAUAUCUUGUUUAUAAAAACAUACAAGAAGGUACCACAGCUAGUGCUAAUUGGGGACCCUUAGCCUCAGAGAAGAUAAUAAAUUCACUUCAGAGAGAAAUCCAGAGCUAUUUGAGUAUUUUCUUCCUUACCACCCCUAUAUAGCUUUGUUGCAUUAUUAAAUUUUUCAGUGUAAAAUAAAAAUGGCUAAUUUUACAGUUAUUGAUGGGGUAAUUGUAAUAGUUUAAUAAAUGUUCAAUAACU